CAUGAUGGAUGAGAUUUUUUGAGCUUCUGAGGUCGUUUCUAACCUCAAAAGUGCAUUUUACAAAUUUUCCAGCACUUUAGAGUUUCUAGUUCGUUUUGGAUUUGUUUUAAUUUAAUUGGGCCCUGCCUCAUCACCUUGAUCUCUCUCCCAAAACAAGAUCUGAAUUGCCCGCCCAAUUUUUGGCCAAAAUUUAAACUUCUCUUUUUUCCCAAAACCCCUUUCCACACGCUCACUUACGACUUACGAGUGUUCUAAAACGAUGAAUUCACAAAUAAUGUUCAGGAAAAAGAAAAAAAAAGAGGGACGCCCUCAUUCCUCAUCCACAUCCCACGAUACUCCGAUUUCUUGUCGCAUAAACAUUGAAAUCCAUACCAUUCUUUGCUUCGUAAGAACCGAAUCCGAUUUCUCGAUCAAUUGGGUUCUCAAUCGUUCUAUUCCAAAAGAUGAGCAGGUAGCAAGAUUCGAUUUUGUCGAUGGCCAUCUCCUCCUGAUAGAAGCUGAAGUCAUUGAUGGCGAGGUCGUUGGUUGUAAUUCAUCUUUUCAAUCUUCAUAUGCAGGCCAUCUAUGAUUUGAUUUGCUUUUUUGAAGAUGGUAUUAGGCCAAGAAAAAACCUCCUAUAAAAAUAAGCCUCCUCGCUCUCUCUCAUUUUUUACAAAAAACCUAAACGCAGCCUCCUCUUGUUUUCAAUCAAAACAAUUUCUAGUGUUUGUGAAAUUGAAAUCCUCUUCUUCUCCUCCUCUUGUCAAAUUUCUGAUCUUAAGAGCUACUCCAGAGGUCUAACGCUGUUGCUUUCUGGCCGUCUUAACCAAAUUUCAUACCAGGUUUCUGAUAAUUGUAUUUUCGUGUGUGGUCAAGUACAACUGAAUGUUCUAAAGGUGGUAAAAACUAAAAAGUCUAGCACCUGAGAAUCUUCCAAGGUCCCUAUUGGGGGUGGAAGCAUUCAUGUAGAUGGAGUAGGUAACAAUAUUUCUACUUUUAAGUUAGAAUGAAUAUGAAACUAUUUAUUUUGGAAACUUUGACUUUAGUGAUACAAUUGGUCGGGGGCUGUGGAAUAAGGUGAAGCUUUUGAUGCAGAACAGUCCACUAUCAGUGCUUUGACUGGCACCACAACUAAGGUGACUGUUUCUUGGCCAAUUCACCAUGUAAUUUGGUCUAUUUUCUAUUUAGAUAUUCAAUAGUUUUUUCAAUUUGGGUAGAAAACCGAGUUAAUAGGAUAGGUUGGGAUUGGGGAUUAGAUUGAGCAGCUCACAUACUUGCACUUGUGAUACUAUGCUGGCAUGAUGCAGAAGCUAUCUAGGCUACAAUGGAGUUUGGUGAAUCCUAGUAGUUACGUAUGUGAAAUGGCUGAAUAUUCCAAGUGAGGUGGUGGGUGCUUGUUGUCUCGAUUUACGUUACAAGCUCUCAAGUAUUGGGAGUGAAAACUUGGUGUACAAUGCAACUUUGGGAGUAGAGAAGAAAAACUCUGGACAUCAAGUAGCAGCUGUUUCAUUGGGAUCAACAAAUCUGUUCAUCAUCUCAACUUGACGGAAAGUUAAAGAUGCAGAGAAUGAGAAAGUACCAUUGAUCAGUUACUGAAAGCUGUGCAGCUGUAGAGCCAUUUCUUGCUAGAAAUCCAUCUCGAAUCCUCCCUGCAAUGCCUCAAGGUUCAGUUAGUUGUGGUUGAACUGUACCAUCAAUUUUUAAUGGAAUUUUUGGAUGAAUACUGUGUUGAUGUUGUUGGGAUAUACUGCUAAUGGAAUAUUGUAGAUCUUGUUAGAAUUAAUGGAAACCUUUUGGUAUCAA